rnacentral:rRNA from 1 species
UACAGAGGUGGCAAGCGUUGUUCGGAAUUACUGGGCGUAAAGGGCGCGUAGGCGGCCUACUAAGUCAGACGUGAAAUCCCCCGGCUUAACCUGGGAACUGCGUCUGAUACUGGAAGGCUUGAGGAUGGGAGAGGGAUGUAGAAUUCCAGGUGUAGCGGUGAAAUGCGUAGAUAUCUGGAGGAAUACCGGUGGCGAAGGCGGCAUCCCGGACCAUUACUGACGCUGAGGCGCGAAAGCUAGGGGAGCAAACGGG